rnacentral:rRNA from 1 species
CCUACGGGUGGCAGCAGUGAGGAAUAUUGGUCAAUGGACGAGAGUCUGAACCAGCAAAGUAGCGUGAAGGAUGACUGCCCUAUGGGUUGUAAACUUCUUUUAUAAAGGCGUAAAACGUGGCACGUGUGCCUUUUUGCAUGUACUUUAUGAAUAAGGAUCGGUUAACUCCGUGCCAGCAGCCGCGGUAAUACGGCGGAUCCGAGCGUUAUCCGGAUUUAUUGGGUUUAAAGGGAGCGUAGAUGGGUUGUUAAGUCAGAUGGGAACGUUUGCGGCUCAACCGUAAAAUUGCAAUUGAUACUGGCAGUCUUGAGUGCAGUAGAGGUAGGCGGAAUUCGUGGUGUAGCGGUGGAAUGCUUAGAUAUCACGAAGAACCCCGAUUGCGAAGGCAGCUUACUAAACUGUGACUGACAUUGAUGCUCGAAAGUGUGGGUAUCAAACAGGAUUAGAUACCCCUGUAGUC